AGCGAACGCUGGCGGCAGGCCUAACACAUGCAAGUCGAACGAUCCUUCGGGAUAGUGGCGGACGGGUGAGUAACACGUGGGAACGUACCUUUAGGUUCGGGAUAACUCAGGGAAACUUGAGCUAAUACCGGAUAAGCCCUUUUGGGGAAAGAUUUAUCGCCUUUAGAGCGGCCCGCGUUAGAUUAGCUAGUUGGUGAGGUAAAGGCUCACCAAGGCUCCGAUCUAUAGCUGGUCUGAGAGGAUGAUCAGCCACACUGGGACUGAGACACGGCCCAGACUCCUACGGGAGGCAGCAGUGGGGAAUCUUGCGCAAUGGGCGAAAGCCUGACGCGGCCAUGCCGCGUGAAUGAUGAAGGUCUUAGGAUUGUAAAAUUCUUUUAGCAGGGACGAUAAUGACGGUACCUGCAGAAAAAGCCCCGGCUAACUUCGUGCCAGCAGCCGCCGUAACAC
rnacentral:rRNA from 1 species